GACUAACUCUUAGUCCAUUGUAAUGAACAUGGACCAUUAGCCCAAACUAUAUGUAAUGCUGAUUUACAUAAUAAGUCCCCGUUAAUUUAAUUUGUCUCUUUUGAUCACUAAAUUAAUUACAAAUUAAUUCUUGAUCAACACCAAUUAAAUAAUAUGAUUUCUUAAUUAAUAUAUUAUACUUAUAAUAUAUUAAUAAAUCACAAAUAACCUCUUUCUCAAAUAUCCAUCCUAUCAGAUUGUUUUGGUGCGGGCAACCCAAAAUGGACCAUGCUACUCUCAGGUCAAGUACAUACCAAUUAUAGUUAUGGGCUUAGACACACCUAAUCCAACAGUCUCCCACUUGGAUAAGUCUAAUAACUGUAACUAUAAGUAUGACUUCAAAACCCAACUAGCAAUCGUAGCUCUCAAAAAGACCCUGUCGAACUCUGUCACGUCCGUUAGAUAAGGGUUGAUAUAUUCCUCCAUUGUAGAUAUCAUAUGGACAUGAGACAUGGAUUAUAAUGAUUCUCUUUGUCUAUGUGUUGUUUCCUGAUUUCCGAUUUAUAACGACUGAAUAAUUGAACAAAUCAAAUCAGUCCAGGCUUGACUUAGUGCUUUAGGGUUGUCAUCACUAAUUCAUCGAGGGACCCACAUAUAUCGCUUUUAUCCCUCUUAGGGUAAAUGAAAUGGACAAAGUUUGAAUCAUAUGCUUGCUCUAUUUACUCAUCAAAUCACACACAAUAAUAUGUUUUAUAACACCAAGUUACUGGUUCGUUUACAUAUUAUGAAUGUGGAACCGACUUGUAAACUGCAACUAUAUGUCUCUGUUUCAAGAAUAUAAGAUAUUAUCGUCUCACUAAUCACUCGUGAUAAAAUCCAUGAAGUGAUUCAGAUGAUGUAACGCCUGUGUUUCCGGGCUUGCCAUAUUUAGCAAUAUAAUAGUCUAGGUUAACCUUUGUAACCCGUUUUGAAAUAAUAAGAAUGUAUUAUUUGAGUAUUAUGUGUUUUGUGCUUAAUUGCUUAAUUAUGUGGUCUGAUUAAUUAAGAAUAAAAAUAAGCGUCAAAAUUUAAGUGUAAAAUAAACUUAAUAUCUUUGGUUAAUGUUGUAGUAGUCGAAACAAGGUUUCCGAAUAUAUAUAGAACGCCCAAAUCUGACUUCGUAUGAGGAAGUUAUGAUUUAUCGAAGUUCCGGCUUAGCGGUAUACAGCCUGAAAUACUCGAUUUGAGAUCGAGCGGUUGUUAGCCGAAGCAAUCUAAAUGAGAAUCGAAGAUCUCAUUGUUGGUAUCGAAGCGAUAAAAAGUUAGGCGAGAACGGACGUCAAACGAAGAAGUUAUGAAUUUAUAACGAAAGUUUCUGUCGCGGCCUAUUAAAAAUAAUUAAUAAAAAUAAAGUCAAAAUUAGCCGACGGAGUCUAAACGAAAGUCGUAGAGCAUGGUCUCACCUUUCCGUGGAUAUAAAGAACGUCGAAAACGGAGUUCGUAUGAAGAAGUUAUGAAUUUCCGAAGUUUAUUAAUCAUUUUGUAUUUAUUUUUAAUUCAAAAUCCGGAAGCAUUAUCCGAAGGAGUCACCGAUCUGAUCCGAGGUACGCCCCGCGUACUCGAGUACGCCCCGCGUACUCCGAGGGAUGUCGACACUCGCACUCGAGCACUUCGGAUACGUAAGCAAUGACGUUUUGGGCAGUACGCCCCGCGUAACGCAGUACGCCCCGCGUACUCCGAGGCUCCAGCCUCCUAUAAAUAGGAUGCGAGGGUUCCGGGUAUUUUUGCCAAUUCCCUCUCAUUUUCGUGUCGAAGCUCUGCAUUUUUACCCCCGAAGCUACCCCGAAGCCCCGGUAUCAUACUCUAGCCCCGAGGCAAGUCCCGAGAUCCCGAAGAUCCCGAGAAGCGCGGUUCCCGAGUCGAAGCUCUGCCCGCGAGAAGUUCGAUUUUCGAGGAGAUCUUCCAGAUCUGCUGAGGAAUACUACUUCUAUAAGCCGUAGUGCUGUCGGAUCGUCUUCUGAUCAAGUGAGUGUGUAGUUAUUUCUUCUAAUACAAUAAUACGAAGUAUUUUAUAUAAAAAUACGUGCUAUGUGUAUAUAUUUGGUUGUGUUAUGUGUGAAUGAGUAUUCACUCUCUUCUAUCUUAUAGAUCUGCUUAUUUCUUUAUGAGAUAUGUGUUAUGUGUGUGUGUGCCUCAUCUGUUAUGUGAUAUAUGUGUUGAUUAAAGCAUGCUAUACAGGUUUUCUUUAAACUAUGUAUACAAAUGUAUAUUUUUAUCUACUAAUAUGUUGGGUAGAACAUGGGUAGAUAGUUGGUGUGUAAUAAACAGAUGAGAGGCCUCGAUGUUGUUGUUGUUGUUGAUCUAGUUAUUCAGCGGAGUAUGGAUAACGACCACGGACUCUUUCUAGACAGUCCAGUGGAACGCUAGCAGGUUCAUAACCUGUAGGUGUUGUGAACGAUGUGUUCACCGGUGUACUCUAUCCCCCUCAUGGUUGCCUUUAGGAUAUCUAUUGUUGAGGAAACCCCUUCGCAGUGAUGUCCGUCCCGAUGAAAAUCCUAGAUUAGGUCCCUUGAGAUAGUUGUUUUAGGGACGUAAAGUGAGGAUAACGGGAAUGGGUAAUCGGGAUAGUGAUUGGUUGGUGAAAUUAAAUAUAACUUAUUUAUUGUGGGUUGAAAACCCUAUAUGCUCACCAGGCUCCCAAGCCUGACCCACUCAGUUUUAUUUGUAUUACAGGAAGUGGCACAAGGGCGUAAGAUGGAUGGAUCAUCUUGUUGUUUUGUUUACAAGUCUGUAUAUGUAUAUAUUUGUUGAAUGACUUGUAAUGUUUAUCGUUUAUGCUUUAUGGUCUGUAUCGGAACAUGACAUCCCGAGUUUUGAUUAUAUAAUGAAAUGCAUCUCUUGAUGAAAUGCUUUGAUAAAUAUCAUUUUAUCAUGUUUUGUUUUGGGAACAAAUUCCGCAACUCUUUCAAAUCAAAAGGAUUUACUCUGAAAAUAUUUAAAAGCAUAAAUGAAAAUCGGUCUUUUCUGGCCGAGAUUUUGGGGAUGUCACAGAUGAGCGUGGGUUUAUUCUAAUACUCAAAUCUUAUUACAGGAGUACUCAUGAAUACUGUAGCAAACUUGUGCUAUAUCUAACACUUAGACAAUCUACAGACGAAUUCAUGGCAGUCUUGCCUCAAUACCUACUUCCAAAGUAUGACCGACUGUAGAUGGUUUGAAUAAUCUUAUUAUUCGGGAAGUCAAAACAUGCGAAGUGAUACACAAGAAUAAUCGAAUCCAAUAUGGUCUCAAAACUUUUGAAUAUAAAUAAAACAUCUUCUAUUUAAUCACCAUAUUGAUUAUACAUUAUUCAUUGUAUAAUUUUUUAUUAAUCAACUUUAUACUUGAAUUAAAACAAUAGUUAUCCCAUGCUCCAAGCAUGCACACUAUGUUUACCUAUGGUCCUUACUUUGUUAAAUAGAUUAGUUAAAAACAUUUCAAUGAUGCUCAUUUCACAAUUCCAAAUCCUUAUUACUUAGUGUAAGAACAUCUAAUUCUUGCCACUAUAAGAAUAUGUUGGAUUCUAAACUAUCAUGCAAUGAUCCUUUUGUAAUCUUGAGUUACAAAAGUCACUUUGACUUUGCCAAUGAUAUUACAAAGUAUUAAUUUGGAGAUUGAUAACAAAACAAUUCUAAGGAAGAGAAUUCUCAAAUUCAAAGUACAUUCCUUUGAACAUCCUUCUUGCACAAAAGUGUCUAACCUAUACAUAGAUACUUAAUAUCUAACUCCCAUUAUGGAAACAUCUCCAUAUUUUGCAUAUGACAACUCAUUAUUAGUAGAAUCCUAUCUAUUCAUAAUAAUGUCAAUAUGGUCCAUCCAUUACUAUACUUCCAACUGUCCUUAAGCAACCAAUCCUUAGCGAACCUUAGAUCGUCCUUGACAAUUGUUUAAUAACUUUAGUCAUAUCCGGUUCUAGUCCUUUUCCCUCUUAAUUCCCUAGGCAUUUGGAAAAUUAGAACACAUGAAUAUUAUAACAUAUGGAAUCGAUCCUAUACCCACAACAUAUGGGAUACGAUUCAUAAUGGCUUACAUAAAGACAUGAUGUCCGACCAGUCUUUUGCUAUAAUAUUCCCAUAUAUAGAAUUUCCAAUGUUGAAACACUUCAACAUGGUAUUCAUAUAUGCUUAUGACUAAGCUUGAUUAAUAUUUUAAUCUAAGCUUUUUGAUUUGAAAUAAAGUAUAAGUAUCUUUUCCCUUAUUAUAGCGAAACAACUUUUCAAACUUUUCAACUUUGGAAAUUAGAACUUUGUUUCCUAUAAAUAGCAUUGCUAACUCGCAACACUUACAAUAAUAAUUAUGCUCCCACUAGCAUAACAAUUAUUUUGUUACUAGCAUAACAUUUUUGCUCCCACUAGCUUUGACAUGUACUCAAAAAUCAGCUGGACUUCUAGAAAUCAAUACUUAUUGACUUUCUUACCAAAGUUUAGAUUUAUGAUACGAGAUGCUUCGAUAAGCCAUUAUCUAAGCUCAUACACGUUUUAUUAGAAAGCUCAUGUGUGUGUAAACUAUUUAAUAACUUAUGGCAGUACGUCCCGAAUGUUCAAACUAUUUGCCAUUUCUCACAAUUCGAACUAUGAAGAGGGAUGCCAUAAUCAUAAUCCAAUCUUAUAACACAAUUAACACAACUUCUAUCUCCUCAAAAUAUACUUAGUCAAAGUGUUUGCUCACAAUCAUUUUCAUGAAUUAGAGAGAAACCUUAUGUCACUUAGAUUUUAUGGUGUACGUGUUCCUAUCCAUAUGAAAAUGUCAUUUCCAGCAGUUAUCAAAAGACAAGGUCUAUGAUAAAAUCAAACUAUGGACUGAACUUACUCAAUCUUAAUUUCUUGCCACUUAGCAACACAAGGGCCUACCAUGUCUUCUAAGUUGUUGAGAGAUCACCUUACUGAUAAAUGAAGUUUCACUAAUCAAGGUGCUUUACCUUAUGAAAACAAUUGAGAACACAUAGAACUCACAUGCAUAGUCAACUUUAACUAGAAUGGCACAAAAACAAAAAUAUGUUAACACGAUAGGUAACGAACCUCAAGUCGUGCGCUAGUGAUAACGAUAGGCUUACUCCUGAUUAGUUCUUGAAACUUUUCAAGACCUUUAAGAUUCCCACUGACCUCUUGACAUAUAAGAUUCUCUUGUCAAGAAACAUUUCUUGACAAACAAAUACUCAAGAGUUAGUGCGAAUUCUUAUCAAGAAUGACACUUCGUAUAAUUGGUCUCAGUUGGUCUUUGUUUUAUCCAAGACAUGACAACUACCAGUCUCAAAUGUGCAUGAGCAUGAACCAUUUCUUACUCCACAUUUCAUGAUGUGUUCUAAACCUAGUUAUGAUAUGUCACUCAUAACUCUAAGACUCGAUUUUGGAAUGAAGUAUGACUCAUCCUUUUUAUUUUAACCAUUUCAACAAUUCUCGAUUCCUCUUCUUAGCCAUACAAGUGCACUACGGUGUGUUUAGAGGAUCAAUUGUGAUAUGGUUUUCAUAAUCAUUAAGAUUAUUAUAAAAUAGGAUAUAUAAGUACUCUCCUUUCCAUUCAGAUUAGAGAAACUUUUAUCUGUCUGCCUAAUUGAUUAUUCUUAUUCGUUCUGCUAUACAUUGAAACUUUUUCAAUGAUUAAGAAUUACACUUAAUCUUGUAAGCAUAACCAUUUUCACUAAAUUUUUAGUAAAUCAUGACGAAUAGACUUAUUGUUCUUUGUGGUGGACUUGAUCAGUGCACAACAAUAUUUACUAGAUCCCCUAGUCCGUCACUUGACUCACAUAUACAUGUGAUCAACGAAUUAGUCUUAAUUUGCCAAAGAUGAAGGUUCUCAUUCAUCGUACAACAGAAGUUGCAUGAUUCCAAGUUUCUGUCCAACUGAAACUUUGGUGAUGAGAAUCUUUCCUUAAUUUGUAAAUUUAGACUCUACCAUAAAGGAAAGAAUCAAAUCAAUAUUGCUAAAAAUAGAAACACACAAACAUCAAUUUUCACAAAUGCCAUUGCAAGGAAAUAUAAAAUAAGACAAAACAAAUUUUUUUUCUUUAUUUAUAAAACACGGAAAACUUGUAUUUACAAUGCAAAUACAUAUGAAACUGUGUUUCUAAAUGCUCCUAAAUGAUCUAUCAUAACUCCUUAGCAACAGCUCAAAAUUCUGAUCAUCGAAUCAUGCGAUCGAAAUCCAUCUCUUCGCGAUCAGACUCUUCCUGCUCUUUCUUUAAGCUUCCUUUCUCUUCUUAGAUCCUACAAAACAUCAAAAUUUAAUCUUAUCACAUCAUGUAUUAAGAAUCUAGAAAUAGGAACCUAAUAGAGUUAGACAGUGGACUUACCUGAAGCAAAGGCAAACACUUUGACUUUACCAUCCUUGUGGUCUUUCAGGUAAAUAUGGAAGCUUCACAUCCAAUGCCCCUUCUCUUGGCAGUAGAAGCAAACAGACUCUUUUGGAAUGGUGCACAGGACAAUCAUAGACUUAGCCUUUCUCUUUACCAUUUGGUCAAACGGUUUGACCUUAGCCAAUCCCUUUCCAUUGGUAAGAGAAAGCUUUACUGGACAUCCAAUGUCGCCAUUUUCAAUGUCCCCAGAUGUUUGGGAAGUAGAUCUUCUAAUCAAGUUUGAUUUAACAGUGCGCCUAAUCAUUGCUGAUUCAGAAGCAAUAAGCAAAUAAGUAAGAUCAAUAAGGGUCACUUCGUGAUUUAUCAUAUAGUAGUGUUUAAUGAAGUCACUAUAUGAAUCAAGAAGUGAAUGAAGAACCAAGUCAACAACUAGCUUCCUUGGGAAAGCGACAUCCAACAUUCCAAGCCUGUCAAUAUGCAACUUCAUCACCAAGAUGUGAGCGCAUAUAGACUUUCCAUGUUUAUGUUUGCUUGCCAAUAGGGUUAGAGUGACCUUGAACUUUUCAAGUCGACGAACAUGUGGGUCAAGGAGAAUUAUUGGAGGAGGUGGAGGAAUUGAAGUACGAUUUCCAUUUCCACAAUCCAAAUGUGGAACGUCAUCUUCAUAGGGAAACUUUUUUUCGAAAGAUCCGAGAAGACCAUAGUUGUCUGAAUUAGACAUCUACAAGGGGAGAAAUUCAAGUGAGUUGAUUUAAUCCUUAAUAUUACACCCAAAAUGAAAUAUUAAGGCUAGGACCCAACAUAAUAUUCUACAAUUCGGAAGAGGGAUGUCGUAAUCCAAUUGUAAAAUAUUUGAAGGUAGGUAAAUGAUGAUUUACCAAUUUCCACUAUGAAAAACGAAAAUGAACAUUAGGUUUUAAAUGAAUUGAAAUUCCAAGAUUCUUUGAUAUUCAUUGAACAUUUAAAUGGCAUGUUUAAUCUCGACUAUGCCAUCUCAAGUUUGUGACUGGGAUACCGAGGAUCACAAACCAGGUGUGAAUAACCAUGUAAAUUAGCUUGGUACUCUCGAAAACAUCUAUCACCUAAUUAAUGUGUCGGUUAACCACACAUGCUCCAUUGAUCUAUGAUAAUCUACGAGCUACCCAUUGAAAUCCUACAUUAGCCCCAUAUUAGUGUGCCGGUUAACCACACACGCUCCACUAACGACUAAUAAGGUGCAAUGUGCAAUUUCAUGGGUUAGCAUCAAAUUCACAUUUUGCUAAAGUAACUAAGAUUCAAAAUUUACAAGGGUUUAAUUACUUUAUGUUUCAUUAUACUUUUAAUGAGGUUUUAAAUUUCCUGUCAAACCCGUUCGGCUAACGACUCUCCACUAGUCAAGGGUGUGGUGGGUAAGAGUGGAUACCCAAUGUCAGUCAUUUUACAUGCCGCUUCCUUAAACACCCCUUAUAGACCAACUUCGUGAAUGAGGCCUACUAACGGUAGGACUGACUUUUAACUUAUACAUAUAUAAUAUCUUAAACUUUUAAUUUUAUAUAGUAUAAGGGUGUAUUUUAAACAUAUAAAAUACUAGGUGGUUUAAUCUAUUAAUUGAACUAGACUUUUAAUUUAAUUAGAAUCAAACCAUAUAAUUAUGGAUUUAUUAAUACUCUUUUAGUUAAUCUUUUAAUUAAUUAUCAACAAAACCAUAAUUAACACUUUUAAGUCUAAAUUUAAGUUAUGAAGCCAAAAUGUUUAGUAUUUAAUAUUUCACAAUUAAAACUUCCUUAAUCAAAUUUUAAAUUCAAAAACUUGAGGGCAAGUUUUGAAACUCUUCAAAAAACUCUUGAGUUUUAUAAUUUAUGUUACAUAAAUGAGACUUUCCAAGUUCCAUAACUUGAGGACAAUUUAUGAAACUCUUCAAGACCUUUGGACUCCAAAAUUUGAUGGGAAUAUUUGUAACCUUUUAAGACUCUUGAAUUCCAUAACUUAAGGAGUUAAUUUGUUUCAUGAAUAAGAUUUUUCAUAUCCACAACUUAUGGAGGUUUCAUAUACUCUUUAGAUCAAACUUUUAAACUAAUAAACUAAUCAAAUAAUUUAAUCUUGCACUAAUUUGACCUAAUUCAACUUAUAUAUCAAGAUAAAUCCAAAUCAAAUAACACAAAUAAUUGGUUUAUCAUAUAAAAUUUUAAUUAUCUUAUAAUUUGACAAUUUAUAUUUUAAUUGGAUGAGAAUAAACACUACCAUAUCAGGAAAACAAAUUUUAUGAUAUGACACAGUUUAUAGCAAUGUUCCUAAUCUAAUUCUGGCCAAAAACACGAAAAUCUGCAAUUCUAUGAUCCAACUCGUCGAGUCAGAUAAUGGACUCGUCGAGUUCAUCAUCAAACUACUCAACUCUUCGACUCCACUCAUGUGACUCGUCGAGUCCAACAUACAUAAUGCAGAAAUGCAGUUUUUUCAACUUUGAACAAUAAACAAAUGCAUCUAUAUAAAAGAAAACACCCAUGUCUCUGAUGCCACUGUUGGGUUUCAUGUACUAUAACACUCCUAUGGUGCACAUACAACCCUAAUACUUUGGAUCUAAGUUUUCUCUAGUUAUACAUGCAACAAAAAUUAUCCAAAGAAUGAAACCUAUAACUAGAAUACAACAUAGAUAUUUAGCACACAAAAACUAUUUAGAUGAUUACCUCUCAUUUGUAGCAUGUAGAAUUUGGCCUUUCAAGAGCUUAGCACCCCAAGUGUGAUGCCCCAAACAAGUCACAAAGACCAUGAGCAAGUAGAGGAUAAUGAGAGAGAGGUCAUGAAGCACCAAAAUCGGCUGGGGUUCAACUAGGAAUCACUGGCCCAAUUUUAGGUGCAUUAGGGCUAAAUUUAUAGUGUGGAAUUCCUAGGGUUUCAACUUGUAAACCCUAAUUCACUUCCUUAGGCCUAGAAUCCAAUAAUCCAUAUGAUAAGCUCUUUAGACUAACUCUUAGUCCAUUCUAAUCAACAUGGAUCAUUAUCCUAAACUAUAUGUAAUACUGAUUUACCUAAUAAGUACCCAUUAAUUUAAGUAGUCUCUUUUGAUCACUAAAUUAAUUCAAAAUUAAUUCUUGAUCAAUAACAAUUAAAUAAUAUGAUUUCUCAAUUAAUAUAUUAAUAAGUCACAAAUAGCCUAUUUCUCAAAUAUCCAUCCUAUUAGUUUGUUCUAGUGAAGGCAAUCCGAAAUAGACCAUGCUACUCUCGGGUCAAGUAAAUACCAAUUAUAGUUGUGAGCUUAGACACCUAAUCCAACAAAAAUGACCUUGCUUAGUCAAAAUGUGAUUUCAAAUGAUUAAGUAUGUCUCACUCAUAAAAGAUUAGGAAUUUCACUAUUCUCCCACUAGUUCGUAGUAAACACACAUGUUCUAUCCAUUUUAAUAUAAAAACAUACCUUGUGGCCUUACAUUAAAAUGAUGAUUGCAACAUUGAAAUGUUUUCUUUAUAUCCAGAAGUGGAUCUCAAGCUCUACAUAUUUUGUUAGGAUAACAUGGAUUAAGAAAACCUCCAGGCUAAUCUAUAUAGAUAUCUUCUAGUAGAUGUCUAUUAAGAAAAGUGGUCUUUCUUGAAAUCUAUUUGCUAUAUCUCAUAUUAAGAAUAUGAAUUUAUAGUAAACAAUAUCCUUAUUGAUCUAAUCAUAACAACUUGUGAAAAAGGGUUCAUCACAGUCAAUGUCAUGAGUAUGACGAGGAUUAUAGUCAAUGACCUGAGUAUGAUAAAAUCCUUUUACUAUAAGUCUUGCUUUAAAUGUGUAUGGUUAUCCAUGUAAUAUAUUAUUUCUAGAAGAAUCAUUUACUUCUUCUAGCCUUUCUAUAGGGAUAAAUUUUAAUCAAGCCUGUACUUGAUUCUCAUACAUGGAUUACAUCUCAUGUUCAUGACUCUAAGUCAUUUAUCGGAUUCGAGAUCUGACAUACAUCUUGGUAUUUCACAGAUUUUCAAGAAACCAUCAAUAAAAUCUUAUCAAUGAGUGAUUCCACAUUUCUCAAGUCAUAGAUAAAUUCUACCAUUAAUGUGAACAAUUUGUGUUUGUGAAUAGUUGUUAUUCAAUUUUAACAAUCUUUGUGAAAACAAGUACCAACUAUUACUACAUAAAGUUAAGGUUCUUGAUCUGCUUCAAGUUCCAUGUACAUCCCACUUGCUUUGUUAUUAGAAGCUUGCUUUGUACUAACUUAGUUUUCACAAUAAUAAGAGAAUCUAUUCUUGGUGGGUUUAAAUAUAAUAAUCUAAGCCACAUAUAGAGUAUUAUACAAAUAUGUAUUUCGUAGAUUUUGGGUUUAGAAGCUUUAGUCAAACAUCGGCCUCAAAUCCAUAAAACAUUUAGUAAGAUGAGGAUGGAGCCUUUCCAUACUAAAUCUUAUAAAGUGUUUAAUCUACUUAAUAGUUGGUAUUUGUAUUCAAGAUACAAUUAAUAGUGAUUGAAGCAUUAUCCCAAAAUGAUUAAAGGAGGAUAUUUCUACCGAUUAGAAAGUAAAUCAUACCAUGUAUGAUUUAACUCAUCCUUUAUUAUCAUUAAAGCCUUUGAUGGUUCUUACCGAUUUGUAUUCCAACUUUUGUAAUCUUCGACAAAGAUUUCAUAAUUACGCUUUACCAUGUAAAAUAUAAUUAAAACUGCUAUAGUUAUUAAUAAAGUUGAUUUGGUAUCUUGUUCUUAAUCUCAUACAUUCAUUAGAAAGUAAGUCAUUCACCAAAGUGUAUAGUUCCUUAAUUAUUUUCUCUACACUUUAGUGAAAAUAUCAUUAGGAAUCCAUUACAUAUAAAUAAGGUUCACAUAUGUCAAAUAAACUACAUUAUUUUCCUUCAAAGAUCCCUUUCUUGGAGCUGGAAUAUGUGAAUGCCAUUUAUAUAAUAAAGAUAACAAUGUCAAAGAUGAGUUUGAUUUGAAACAAGUUUAAGUCAAAAAGUGCUUACAUAUAGAACUUAAUUUUAUUUAUAAAAAUGUUGAUAUUUACUUUAUAAUUCUAUUAAGAGAUCUAGUCUCAUAAAUAGAAGUCAAUCAUUUUAGAAUAUGAAUACUAUCGUUAUGAAAAAUGAUUAUGUAAAUGAUCAAACAUUUGAAUAAAAUAACUGAGACAUAAAUUUAGAUAUGCUAAAUUUAAACAUACAUUGUUCCAAAAAAAAUAUUAUUUUAUAUUACAAGUAAUUUAUGUUCCAAGCAUAAAUAAUAAACUAAACUCCUUGAAUGUAGUUCCAACUUGAUUGUGCUCGGCUUGGUUACUCUUCAAUAAAUAUUUGUAAGCUAUUUACAAAUAUUAGAUUAACAUUUAAGUACCAAGUACCUAAGUGUUACAUGAAAAGUAUGAGUUCUAUCUAGUAGAUACAAGAAGUACUAGUCUCUUCUAGACUUUCUCUCCAUUUAAGAGGAGUAAAUCCUCUUCCAUUGUCUAAUUUCUUCAUAAAAGAAAGAAGAUCCAUCUAUGUGGGCUUUAGGAGAUUUAUUGGGCUUAAAGGUGUUCAGUCCAUAAAACAUGGGCCUCAUGGAUCACACAAGGUGAUUCGUUUAUCCUUGCAUUAUUCCAAUAAAAUAUCACUAUAUUUAUUGGAAUAUUGCUUGACCUAUUAUGUCAUCAGAUAUAUGUUUAUAUUAUCCAAGACUUCCUAGAAGUCAUGAAUAACUAUUCCUAGCUUUAUGUUAGAAGCAUCUUUAGCAUCAUAGUGAUGUCUUUACUAGGUAUCAUUUUUCAGGCUUAUUACUCAAAGCAAAUGGUUUAGGACUCGGACCUUCAAGUGUAUACAAUUUCAUAUCUCUCAUGAGAGUGUCUCUUAAUACAUGAACCUAUUCAUUGAAGUUGUAUCUAUUGAAUGUUAUUGUUUCAUUAAGUCAUUCAAUAAAAUGACAAUUCAUGAUAAUGAGAAUGGAUUAUAUAACUACAAAAUUUAAACAAAAUCCAUUUAGUAUUUUUAAUAUUUAAUUUUUAAUAAUUAAUACCUUUUUAGUUUUCAAAAAACAUCAGUUAUCAAAGUCUAUGAUCCAAGUUGCGAAACAGAUAAAUGGUUAGGUAUCCUUUAUCCCAUCAAUUUCAAUUCAACUCUGUAGAUAUAGAUUAUCAAUUAUAUCUUGCUAUAUAAUUCCUAGAUUUAUGGGAUUGCUAAUAACAAAUUUAAUUAGACAUGUUUGAUCUCAGCUAUGCCUCAGAACUCUCUUGCUUAGGUAUCCUUUAUCACAAAAGACUUUUGAUCAAAUCGUCCAAUUUGAAAAACUUGUGUAAUCAGCCAAUUACUUGGUUAUAUAAAUUGAGAAGACACCCCGGCCAUCAAAAGAUAUCACUAAGUGGUUAGGUAUCCUUUAGCCCACUAGUGCAUGCAAGAGAUGUGCGGGUGUUGUUCAAAAGGAUUACAUAGAUUUGAGGCUUGUAAAAAGAGUCUUUAUAUGUUUUAUAAUUCUAGUUUAAAAACAUAUGAUAUCAUGGUUAUUACAUGCAUAUUAUAAACCAUUGUAUCAAUUUUCAAAAGAAAUCACUUUUAAAGGUUCUAUAUAAAAAGCUAGUUUUUAUAUAAUUUGACGCAAUUCAAUUUUAAUAACCGAUAUUAAUUUUGAGACCAUUUGAACCAUUUAUAUCUUUAAUAAUUCUUCAUUUUAUUACUUAUAUAUAUGAGGUUUGUAUAAGUUACAAAAAUCACCAUUUUAAACUUAUAAUGGAGUAUUUCAAAAUUUGCUGUUAAUAUCGAUUUUAUAAAACCGGGUUUUAUUUUUAAAAUAAUAACUUGUUACAUCUUAUGUCGAAUUUUGAAAACCCAAACUCUAUGUGAUGUUUAUUUUGUCCAAAAUUAUUUUAGCAUGUGAAAAACUAAUUUGUCAACCACACAUAAUAAUUGCAUAAAACAAACAACACAAACAUACAUAAAAAGAUAUGUGCAUAAACAUAGCCAACUAAUGACAAUUUUUGUGAGCCAAGAAAAAAAAACACCUAGUCCAUUCCUAAAGGGACAUUUAUGGGGACCAAAAAUAUUCUUAUAAUGUUGUUGAAGAAGCUCCCUCUUGAGUAAACACCAAUUGAUUGCAAAGGAUUGGAAAAACUUCUUUAAGGAAAAAUCUGCUGCAUUCAUGACACUUUCAGAAAGUGUCAUCUUUCCGUUCAACACAUGUAUAACUUUCAUGACACUUUUCUGAAAGUGUCAUCUUUCUGCCCAUCACAUGUUGAACUCGAAAAUUGCCUUCUUGUCUUCAAAAGUGGCUCAAACUUCAUUUCUUAUUACAUAUUUGUACAAAUAAAUUAUUUCUAAAAACUAAUCUAUUACUUUACAAAAAUAACCAAGAAAUCUAAUCUAUUUAAUUAUUACAUACCAUAUGAAUAAAUAAAUUAUUACAACUAUUUUUAUAACAAUAACAACAACACAACAAUCAUAAUGGUCCUUGGCUAGUUUAUGCACAUUAUACACAUAAAACAACCUUUGUUUUUCUAAGACAACUUUAAAUGACAAAAGAUGCAUGAAACUUUUGUCACAUAAAUUAACAAAUAUAAAGUUGCCCUAGAAAAUAUGUAUGAACUUAUUUUUAUAGAAAAACAACUUAUCUAUAUUCUCCAAAGACUAAGAUUUCCAAAAAUCAAAAAAAUGUAACCAAACUUGCAUGGUGGCUUUGAUACCAAUUGUUGGGUUUUAGUUCAAAAAUAGAUUCAUAAACUAGAAAAAUAUGGCAACGGAAGACUUUAAUUUUUGAAAUAACAUAAACAUUUUAUACCGACCAAGGAUCUUCUUGCAAUGUUUGGAAAGAAAACAAGAACCAAAAAGUAAGAAGUGUUUAACAACCUUUUUAGACUUUGAAUCCUCAAGGGGAGGCUUGGAAGUUAAUGAAGAGUGUGGAACCUUUGGGACACCAACAAUGACUUAACUUGAUGUAGAUGCUAGUCCACAAACUAUUAAACCCUUAAGCUUUAAGUUCAUAAACAAUAUGAACUUAAAGAGGACAUGAAGAUGCAAGUAACUUCAAAAAAAAGAUGAAGAAAAGAGAGAGAGUAACCUCCUCUAAGGAGGUUACGAUUUUGGAGAGUGUGAAUGAGCAAACCAAAUGAAAGCAUCAAGUUUUGUAUUUAUAGUAGAAAGAAUUCCUUACUUUAUGAAUAAAAUAGUCACAAGACCAUGCCCUUAUUUAAAUAAUCAAAGAACCAUUUUCUCAGUUAAAUAAUCAAAAGGCCAUACUCUUAUUUAAAUAUUCAAAUAGUCAUUCUCUCAUUUAAAUAAUAAAAAGCCCAUAACACUUUUCUCCUUGAAAAUUAUAUACAAAAGAGAAGAGUUUGUUUAAAUUUUAUAAACUCAAAGUUUAUAAAACAUAAACUUUGUCUUUUUAGUAAAAGACAAAUGGGUUUCAACUAGUCCAUAAAGUUGUACAUAACUUACUAAUUCAUACUAUAUAAAUUAUGUAGUAUUACUUGCUAAUGAAAAUUAUUAUUUCCAUGAAAUAAAUAAUUUCCAAUUUAAUUAUAAGAGUUUUAUUGAAUUUUAUUAAAAUGAAUUUCUAAUAAAUAAUCAAUUAUAUCAAGUUUUUGUUAGUGUCACCCAUUAGUAUCAUAUGUAAAUUAGCAAUAUCACUUUAAUAUGAUUCUUGAGCAUAGUAGACCUUUCACAUAACCCGCUGAACUACCUCACCCUAACAUAUUGAGGUCCUAUAAUUCCUUCCGUAAAGCAUCUAAAAAAAGAGGUCGAUCGAUGUUGGCGUGAUGGCUGUUGUUAUAUGAAUUCCUCUAAGGGAAGAUAUGUAUCCCACCUCCCACCAUAGUCUAAAACACAUUCCUGUAACAUAUCCUCUAGAGUCUGAAUGGUCCGCUUGCUCUGAAUGCUAGUUUGCGGAUGGAAGGCCAUGCUGAAAUGCAAACGAGUACCCAACUCAUCAUGGAACCUCUUCCAUAAUCUAGAAGUAAACCUGACAUCCCUAUCUAUAACCACGGAAACCGGCACCCGAUGCCGUGCCACAACCUCCCUCAUGUAUACCUCUGCCAACUUCUCUAAAGAGAAACUCUCCUGGAUCGGGAUAAAAUGCGCGCUCUUGGUAAAUUGAUCCACGAUGACCCAAAUUGAAUCCACUCUGCACGCAGCCCAAGGCAAUUGAAAUCGAUGGUGGUGUCUUCCUAUUUCUAUACGGGAAUCUCCAACCACUGCAUCUUGCCAUGAGGUCGAUGAUGCUCGGCAUUGACUUUCUUUCAAUUCAAGCACCUCUGCAAAUACCUAGCCACAUAUCGCUUCAUGUAGGGCCACUAAUAUUUAGUACGGAUAUCUCUAUACAUCUUAGUCGAUCCGGGAUGAAUGGAGAACCUAGACUUGUGCGCCUCCUCCAUCAGAAUCUGAUGCACACCACCACAAUACGAAACCCAUACCCUCCGGUGAAGAGUCAAUAACCCUCAAAUAUCAUAAUCAAAGGAAGCCACCUAACCUACAAUACUCUCACUCUUCUGGUGCUCUUCCCUCAUAGCCUCAAUCUGAGCCUCCUAAAUCCGCUCAAAUAGCAGAGUAAUCACGGUCAUUCUCAAACAUAUAUCCCUGAUCGGAGCCGCAACCGCCUUGCGGCUAAGAACAUCGGCCACCAUAUUGGCCUUUCCAAUGUGGUAAAGGAUCUCACAAUCAUAAUCCUUCGCCACAUUCAACCACCAGAGCUACCUCAUAUUCAAAUUUGGUUGAGCCAUUAGAUAACUCAGGCUCUUGUGAUUUUGUAAAUACUACAACAGGCCCCAAAGAGGUAAUGUCAACAAAUCCUGAGGGCAAAAACCACAACCCCUAGCUCCAAAUCAUGCGUCGGCUAGUUCGGCUCAUGAGGCUUCAGCUGCCUCGAAGUGUAAGCGAUCACACGACCCCUCUGCAUCAAUGCUGCCCCCAAACCAUGAUCAACACAUCACAAAAGUCCUCAAAAUCCUCAACACCCUAUGACAGAGUCAAAAUUGGCACCUCAUAUAAUUUCUGCCUCAGGGUCUCAAAAGUUGUCAGCUGCUUAGGCCCACACCGAAAAGUGACCGUCUUCUUUGUCAACCGAGUCAAAGUAACAACUAUCUUGGAGAAAUCCUCGAUAAAUCUCCGAUAAUAACCUGUUAGGCCAAGGAAACUCCAAAUCUCAAAUGGAGACCCGAAACCUCUCACCGCAGUACGACCUCGACCUUGACCGGAUCGACCAAAAUACCACUUUGGUUGACAAGUUGCCCCAGAAACUACACCUCGAGCAACCAGAACUCACACUUGGAGAACUUUGCAAAAAAUUUCUACCUCCUCAAAGUCUCCAGCAUCUCCUUUAAGUACUCCUUGUGCUGCUCCUUGGUCAUGUAAUAGACCAAGAUAUCAUCAAUGAAUACAAUCACAGACCAAUCCAACAUCAGCCUGCAUACGUGGUUCAUGAGAUCCAUGAGCGUGGCUGAAGCAUUGGUGAGCCCAAAAGGCAUCACCACGAACUCGUAAUGACUAUAACGAGUCCGGAAGGCCGUCUUCUACACAUCCUCAUCUCUAACCCUCAUAUGAUGAUAAGCCGAAUGAAAAUAAAUCAUGGAAAACCAAGAUGCACCCUAAAGUUGGUCAAAUAGAUCAUCAGUCCUUAGGAGUGGAUAAUGGUUCUUCACCAUUACCUUAUUCAGCUGCCGAUAGUCAACACACAUACCAUGAGACCCAUCUUUCUUCUCCACAAAUUAGAUCCGUACUCCCCAUGGUGAACUACUCGGUCGAAUGAAUCCCUUGUCUAAAAGCACCCUUAGAUGUGUAGAAAACUCCUACAUCUUGGGAGGAGCCAACCGAUACGAUGCUUUGGCUAUCGGAGCCGCACCUGGAACCAGAUCAAUUUGGAACUCAACCUGCCUCUCCGGAUGCACCUAAUGCAAAUCCUCUGGAAACACAUCCGGAUACUCCCGCACAAUAGGCACAUCAUCCACAGUCACCUUACCCUUAUCACAAGUAUCAAUAACAUAGGCGACAAAUCCGAAACAACCCUGCUGAAUAUAGGGUCUAGCCCUCACUGCUGAACACAAAAUCGGCCCAUGCUGAGCUCUCUCUCCCUGAACCACUAACUCUCCCCCACUUGAAUUUCGAAUCCGAACUAACUAUUGCUCACAAUUGGUCACUGUCCCAUUAGGUCUAAACCAAUCCAUGCCCACGAUAACCAUGUUCUCACACAAAGGAAUGGGAAAUAAAUCAACCAAACACUGCUCAUUGAACAACUAAAGAAUACAACCAGGAUGAACCCUCGCUACCCGGACAGAUCGAUCAUUUGCAAUCUCGACGUCCAAAGGAGAAUCUAACUCCCCCGUAGUUCCAGCGAACCUUUUUCUAGGUGCAAGCGAUACAAAGGAUCAGAUAGCGCCUAAAUCAAACAAUUCCAAUGCAGAAAUAUCAUUCAUGAGGAACGAUCCAAAAAUAAGACACAUAAAUAUAAGCAGGAAAUUCAAUAUAACUAAAGAGAUAAGGAGAAAAUAUAUACCCGCCACUACGUCUGGAGCUACACGAGUCUUGUAACAUCAAGAAUUUAAAAAAAACAAUUUUUCGCAUUUUAUAAAGGCAAAAUUCAUUUAAUAUUCAUAAAACAUCAUUGUUUGUAAUUCAUUUCAUAACAUAUAAUAACCCCAAGAUCACAUAAUAUAAAAUCCCGCGUGUGUGCACUGAUCAGGCCGGCGCCUUCCCGCGAUCCUCACUAGUACCUGGAACAAAUAACACCAACACUGUAAGCAUAAAGCUUAGUGAGUUCCCCAAAAUACCACAUAACACAUUUUAGCCACUCGAGGCUAUAACUCUGUGGGUCCGUGCACCCAUACUCUGUGAACCCUCAGGUUCUAACUCUGUAAACAAGCAUAGCAUAAUUAACAUAGAAUAAUGCAGUGCAACACAUAACAUACAUAGCAUACAAAUACUCUAUCAUAUAACUCUGGUUACCUACUCAAGGUAAAGUAUAGUGAGAAGACUCACCUCGCGUGUCUCGAUAUCUCACAAUCCUGGGAAUCCCUCGUGCUCGAUUCUCCGAGCUCUAAUCCUCCUAUAACAUCAUAUGUCCCUAGUUAACACUUUAUAUCUCUAAUGUUGACUAUCCCUAAGAAGUCAACACAGGUCCACUCUGGUCAACGGUCAACGGUCAACUUUGACCGGACUCGGCGAGCGCUAGGGCGACUCGGCGAGUCUAGACGUUCUCACCAAUUCUCUAAGAUUCCCUUUCUACACGUCGAGUAUCCCCCCUGACUCGACGAGUUCCUCCUGGAAGAAUCGCGGGGCCACCCCGACUCAACUCGCCGAGUCUGAAGAACAACUCGGCGAGUCCCAGUUCGACUCAGACCACCUGUUAACCCUCUCUAACUCGCCCUGACUCACCGAUCCAACCCAUAACCCGGACAGGACCAUUCUAAGGCAAUCUUCAAGCUACUCGCCGAGUCUGUUCAUCGGACUCGGCGAGUCCAUGCCAUGCAACCGCUCAAACUGCUUUCUAAGGUCAGAUCUGCUCCGGCAAUUCAUAGGUCUGGCCUUCCUAGACUGGUUCAUCACGUAAAGUCCUUAUUUCGGUGCUCAUAAUACACCCCAUGACUCAUAAUUGACGUUUUGACCUAAGGCAUAAGGAUUCCAAUCCAAAACCUCCAUUGAUUCCCGAAAAGCUCAGGCAUGGGACACUCUGGACUUCCAAGGGUCCCAAUAUAGGGUUCCAAUCGCUUGGGGGACUAAGGAAACACUCAAUCUAGCCACAAAAGGGUUCAAUAAACCCUAAAUCCAUAUACACAUCAACAUAGAAGGGAACAACUCGAAAAUAUUACCUGAAUAACGUUGCUCUGUGUCCCCAACCCUCAGAAUAUGGCUUCUCCUGUUGUUCCCUUAACCAAGCCUCCUCCUCCUUGCAAAAUAACACUUCCAAGAUCAAUAAUGGUCUUCUACCUUGCUCCAGAUGCUCACAAUCGAAUUAGGGUUUCACUCAAAGGACUAGGGUGAACAAUGACGGCCAUAAGGCCCCUUAUAUAUGUCCCAAACCUGGGAAGUUAGGGUUUCGCUAAACAGCGCGGACUCGCCGAGUCCAUAUCCGGACUCGCCGAGUCCAGUCGCGAACCCGCGACCAGAUCCGCGAUCCUACUCGGCGAGUCUGAGCUCCAACUCGCCGAGUCCCCUCUUAAAACACCCAAAAUCAUAAAUAUAACAAUACCUGGAAUUCCGGGCUGUUACAACUCUCCCCCACUAGGACUAGACUUCGCCCUCGAAGUCUCACUCUGAAAAUAGCUCCGGAUGCUGCUCCCGCAUCUCACGCUCCGGCUCCCAGGUCAUUUCCGAUCCCUUCCGGUGCUGCCACUGAACUAACACCAGAGGUAUCUCCUUAUUCCUCAGAACCUUGAUCUUCUGAUCUCUGAUGGCCACUGGUCUCUCGGCAUAAUUCAGGCUCGCAUCCACCUGAAUGUCCUCUAAUGGAACUACUGCCGACUCAUCGGCUAUACACUUUCUCAAUUGCGACACAUGAAAAGUGUCGUGGAUCUGUCUCAAUUCCGUUGGCAACUCCAAACGGUAGGCCACCCGGCCUACCCUCGCAAUCACACGAAAUGGCCCAAUAUACCGGGGCCCCAACUUGCCCCUCUUCCUGAAUCGAAUCACUCCUUUCCAAGGAGAGACCUUCAGGAGAACGAAGUCGCCGACCUGAAACUCAAGCUCGGACCGGCGUCUGUCUGCAUAACUUUUCUGUCGGCUCUCGGCGGUCAAUAACCUCUAUCUAACCUGCUGAAUCUGCUCUGUUGUCUAAAGCACAAUCUCUGUACUGCCCAUCACUCUCUGUCCCACCUCUCCCCAGCAAAUGGGGGUCCGACACCUCCUACCAUACAACAGCUCAAAAGGUGGCAUACCAAUGCUCGAAUGAUGGCUGUUGUUGUAGGAAAACUCCGCCAAGGGCAAAUACGCAUCCCAGCUACCCCCAAAAUCCAACACACACGCCCGAAGCAUGUCCUCGAGCGUCUGAAUCGUCCGCUCACUCUGACCGUCUGUCUGGGGAUGAUAUGCGGUACUAAAAUGCAAUCUAGUACCCAACUCCUCAUGAAAUUUCUUCCAGAACCUAGAAGUGAAACGCACAUCACGAUCUGAAACAAUCGAGAUCGGCACCCCAUGCCGAGAUACUACUUCUCUCACAUACACCUCCGCCAAUUUCUCUGCUGAAGAACUCUCACUAAUGGCAAGGAAGUGAGCGCUCUUCGUCAAUCUGUCUACAAUCACCCAAAUUGCAUCAACUCCUCUGGCAGUCCUCGGCAAUUUGGUGAUGAAAUCCAUAGUGAUCUGUUCCCACUUCCACUCGGGAACCUCCAAUGGCUGCAACUUGCCAUGCGGUCUCUGGUGCUCGGCCUUAACCCUACGGCAGGUCAAGCACCUCUCGACAAACCACGCGACGUCCCUCUUCAUGCAGGGCCACCAAUAUUCUCUCCUCAAAUCCAAAUACAUCUUUGUAGCCCCGGGAUGGAUCGAGAAUUUCGAUCGAUGUGCCUCCUCCAUCAAAGUAGUACGCGUACCGCCCACAAACGGUACCCAAAUCCGACCCUGAAAGGUCAUCAACCCUCGAACAUCAGUAACGAACUCUGAAACCAAACCAACGACCCGUUCCCUCUUCUGCAUCUCCGGUUGCAUAGCCUCAGACUGUGCCCCACGAAUGGCAUCCAGUACUGGAGCUAUCACGGUCAACCUCAAACAUACAUUUCGUAGUGGAGUGCUCUCCCCCUUACGGCUCAACGCAUCUGCUACCACAUUAGCUUUGCCCGGGUGGUACAGGAUCUCGCAAUCAUAAUCCUUGACCACAUCCAACCACCUCCUCUGACGCAUGUUUAGGUUGGGCUGGUCCAUCAAGUACUUCAAACUCUUAUGGUCCGUGUAUAUCGUGCAACGAACCCCAUACAAGUAAUGACGCCAAAUCUUGAGGGCGAACACUACCGCCCCCAGCUCUAGAUCAUGCGUGGGAUAUCUCGUCUCGUGAGGCUUCAGCUGCCUCGAUGCAUAUGCUAUUACAUGCCCUCUUUGCAUCAGAACUGCACCCAACCCCGAAAUAGAUGCAUCACAAUAAACUACAAAAUCCUCCAUCCCUUCCGGGAGAGCUAACACCGGGGCUUCGCACAAUCUCUGGCGAAGUGUCUCAAAAGAGGUCUGCUGCUCGGGUCCCCAUGAGAAUGCAACCCCCUUUCGGGUCAAUCUAGUGAGUGGCACUGCAAUUCUGGAGAAGUCCUUAAUAAAUCUCCGAUAAUACCCUGCCAAUCCAAGGAAACUCCUGAUCUCAGAGGGUGACUUCGGCACCUCCCAACUCAUCACCGCCUCAACCUUGGCCGGAUCGACCAAUAUCCCUUCCUGAUUAACAACAUGUCCUAGGAAUUGGACCUCCCGCAACCAGAAGUCACACUUGGAGAACUUUGCAUAAAGCUUCUCCGAUCUCAAAACCCCAAGGACCUCCCUCAAAUGUUCCUCAUGCUGCUCUCUAGAUCUCGAAUACACCAAAAUAUCAUCGAUAAAUACAAUCACUGACCGAUCCAACAUCGGCCUACAUACCCUGUUCAUGAGAUCCAUGAAUACAGCCGGGGCGUUGGUGAGCCCAAAAGGCAUCACCACAAACUCAUAAUGCCCAUAUCGCGUCCUGAAUGCUGUCUUCUGUACGUCCUCAUCCCGCACUUUCACUUGAUGAUAUCCCGACCUCAAGUCGAUCUUGGAAAACCAAGAUGCUCCCUGCAACUGAUCAAAUAAAUCGUCGAUCCUCGGUAAUGGGUAACGGUUCUUGACCGUCAACUUGUUCAACUCCCGGUAAUCAAUGCACAUCCGGUGUGAACCAUCUUUCUUCUUGACGAACAGAAUAGGUGCUCCCCACGGCGAGCUGCUCGGCCGAAUGAAUCCCUUCCCCAGCAACUCCUGAAGCUGCGAGGAUAACUCUUGCAUCUCUGGAGGUGCAAGACGAUAAGGCACCUUAGCGAUAGGCGCGGCUCCCGGAAUCAAAUCAAUACCAAACUCCACUUGCCUCACAGGAGGUACUCCCGGCAGCUCCUCGGGAAAGACAUCUGGAAACUCACGCACCACCGGUACCUCCUCAACUGAACUCGGUCUCUCGGAAGUCGCUCGCGUAUCCAUCACAUACGCCACAAAACCCUUACAGCCCUGCUGUAGACACUGCCUCGCUCUAGCGGCCGAACAAAAGGCUGAUCCCGAACGCGUACCCUCGCCGUACACCGAAAGAACUCCCCCACUAGGGUCUCGUAUAGUCACCAGCUGACGCUCGCAGUCGAUGACUGCGCUGAAUCGGCUCAACCAGUCCAUGCCCACAAUGACACAGACAUCACCCAUCGCGAUAGGAAUUAGGUCAAUCGGAAACUCAACCCCGAAAAUCUCUAACACACAUCCCCGGAAAACCCCCGUGGCACAAAUCACUCUAUCAUCAGCUAUGGAAACUCUCAGAGGCCGACUCAAUGCCUCACGACUAACACUGAUAUGCUGACUAAAGGCCAAAGAUACAAAAGACCGACUCGCACCCGAGUCAAAUAACACUAAAGCAGGCACAGAAUUCACAAGGAAGGUACCUACGCAUAACCUAAUAUAAGCAUAAUAUUUCAACAUCAAUAUAAAUACAUGAAAGGAAACGUACCAGCCACCACAUCGGGCGCAGCGCGGACUUCCUCCGCAGUCAGCUGGAAGGCUCUCCCUCGAGCUCUCGGUGCCUCGGUCUUCAUAGGCCGACUCUCUGUAGCUCUGAUGGCGGCAGGAGCAGAUCCCUGAGGUGCUCCGCGCAGCUGCGGACACUCAGCCUUCCGGUGUCCAGUCUGGUUGCAGUGAAAGCACACUGCAAACCCCUUGGGGCAGUCCUUGGCCAUGUGCCCCUCCUUGCCACAUUUGUAGCAAGACCCCGCUCGGCAAACUCCGUCAUGCCCCUUGCCGCACUUUCCGCAAGUGCGGCCCUUCUGGCUCCCUGGUAUGGGAUCAGUAGGCUUGGCCCGCUUGGCGGCCGGCUGCGACUGUGCCGGUCGCCGAUCCCUCCCCUGAGACUCCGCCUCCUCCCUGGCCUGAGUCUCAAGCUCGAUCUCCCUCUUCCGGGCAUUUGCCUGAAGCUCGGCAAAUGUCCGGUACGAGGAGUUCGCAGCGAACUCCCGAAUAUCCCGCCUCAAGAUGCUCAAGUAGCGGCUCAUACGUGCCUGCUCAGUGGGCACGUGCUCAGGGCAGAACAUCGCCCUCUCGUGGAACAUCCUCGUGAUUGCUGUAACAGACUCAGUACCCUGCUUGAGGGUCAGAAACUCCUGUGCUAAACGCUCCCUCUCCACCUGGGGAACGUACUCAUCUCGAAACAUGGUGGUGAACCUCUCCCAGGUCACCGCAGAAAGCUCAGCAGGCGUAUAAUGCGCCGUUGCAAACUUCCACCAGUCCUUCGCUCCCAAGCGAAGCUGGUUCAGCGCGAAUCGGACCUUCAAAUGCUCAGGAGACGAGCAAGUGAAGAAGCACCCCUCAAUAUCAGAUAUCCACCUCAUCGCUGCCACCGGACCCGGGGUCCCAUCGAACUCUGGUGGUUUUGUGUUGCUGAAUUCCCGGAAUAGUAACGCGUCCCCACCCUGCGGCCUUGCAGCAGUCACCGCUGCGGUAGCCGCUGCAGCAGCAGCCUCAGUAAGAGCGGCAUAACGCUCGUCGAACGUCUCAAUCAGUGUGGUCUUUAUGGACCCAAACAUCUCCGGAAUCUCUGCCCUGAUGGCUGCAGCUACCUCCUCCUGGAUGAUCCGGCGGAUAUCCUCCUCACUGGUACCACUGCUCUCGGACGUGAAACGUGUCCUCACCAUGAUCUACCGCUGAAAUACGACAUACAAUAAAUUUAGAAUCCCCACGAACACACUCACACUCGUCAACUCUUUCCUCCUUGAUUCUUGGCAUUCCAAAGAUUCUUACUUGGGCUGCACCCCGCUCCGGUGCUUCCAGUAGUACGGGCCCAAUACUACUGUCCGCACCGCACCAGAAUACACUCCAAGUCCUCCUCUUCGGAUUCCAGGUCUCAAGUACUCUAUCAUGCGUAGACCACUCUCUAAUAGAUCUCUCAUAAGUCCCUCGCUGCUACCUACUCACUCUCAAGCAUCUCAUAGCAGCUCACCUCUCCCUAGGCUAAGGCAUCACAAAUCAGGCCAAUCUAGUUCUAAUAGCAAUGCCUAGCCUACUCUAGCAUGCAGAUACAUCAUAUCAAUAUUAACAUCACAUAAUGUAAGGGUAUUUUGGGAAAUCACCGUUCGGGCGCGGGCUGAUCGUACACACAUCUCUUGCUCUGCGUCUUUUCAAAAAUCUUUUAAUCUUUUGAAAAUUACAUCUCAAAUCCUCAGUUUGAGUUCAAAUACGCCCGAAGGUGUACUCGAAUCCCUCAAACCAAGGCUCUGAUACCAAAUUGUAACACCAAGAAUUUAAAAACAAUUUUUCGCAUUUUAUAAAGGCAAAAUUCAUUUAAUAUUCAUAAAAACAUCAUUGUUUGUAAUUCAUUUCAUAACAUAUAAAAACCCCAAGAUCACAUAAUUUAAAAUCCCGCGUGUGUGCACUGAUCAGGCCGGCGCCUUCCCGCGAUCCUCACUAGUACCUGAAACAAAUAACACCAACACUGUAAGCAUAAAGCUUAGUGAGUUCCCCAAAAUACCACAUAACACAUAUUAGCCACUCGAGGCUAUAACUCUGUGGGUCCGUGCACCCAUACUCUGUGAACCCUCAGGUUCUAACUCUGUAAACAAGCAUAGCAUAAAUCACAUAGAAGAAUGCAGUGCAACACAUAACAUACAUAGCAUACAAAUACUCUAUCAUAUAACUCUGGUUACCUACUCAAGGUAAAGUAUAGUGAGAAGACUCACCUCGCGUGUCUCGAUAUCUCACAAUCCUGGGAAUCCCUCGUGCUCGAUUCUCCGAGCUCUAAUCCUCCUAUAACAUCAUAUGUGCCUAGUUAACACUUUAUAUCUCUAAUGCUGACUAUUCCUAAGAAGUCAACACAGGUCCACUCUGGUCAACGGUCAACGGUCAACUUUGACCGAACUCGGCGAGUCUAGACGUUCUCACCAAAUCUCUAAGAUUCCCUUUCUACUCGUCGAGUAUCCCCCCUGACUCGAUGAGUUCCUCCUGGAAGAAUCGCGGGGCCACCCCGACUCAACUCGCCGAGUCUGAAGAACAACUCGGCGAGUCCCAGUUCGACUCAGACCACCUGUUAACCCUCUCUAACUCGCCCUGACUCACCGAUCCAACCCAUAACCCGGACAGGACCAUUCUAAGGCAAUCUUCAAGCUACUCGCCGAGUCUGUUCAUCGGACUCGGCGAGUCCAUGCCAUGCAACCGCUCAAACUGCUUUCUAAGGUCAGAUCUGCUCCGGCAAUUCAUAGGUCUGGCCUUCCUAGACUGGUUCAUCACGUAAAGUCCUUAUUUCGGUGCUCAUAAUACACCCCAUGACUCAUAAUUGACGUUUUGACCUAAGGCAUAAGGAUUCCAAUCCAAAACCUCCAUUGAUUCCCGAAAAGCUCAGGCAUGGGACACUCUGGACUUCCAAGGGUCCCAAUAUAGGGUUCCAAUCGCUUGGGGGACUAAGGAAACACUCAAUCUAGCCACAAAAGGGUUCAAUAAACCCUAAAUCCACAUACACAUCAACAUAGAAGGGAACAACUCGAAAAUAUUACCUGAAUAACGUUGCUCUGUGUCCCCAACUCUCAGAAUAUGGCUUCUCCUGGUGUUCCCUGAACCAAAUCUCCUCCUCCUUGCAAAAUAACACUUCCAAGAUCAAUAAUGGUCUUCUACCUUGCUCCAGAUGCUCACAAUCGAAUUAGGGUUUCACUCAAAGGACUGGGGUGAACAAUGACGGCCAUAAGGCCCCUUAUAUAUGUCCCAAACCUGGGCAGUUAGGGUUUCGCUAAACAGCGCGGACUCGCCGAGUCCAGUCGCGAACCCGCGACCAGAUCCGCGAUCCUACUCGGCGAGUCUGAGCUCCAACUCGCCGAGUCCCCUCUUAAAACACUCAAAAUCAUAAAUAUAACACUACCUGAAAUUCCGGGCUGUUACAAGUCUCCUUAGCUAUUAGCUGAAAAGCCCUGCUCUUCACCAUAGAUGCAUCUGCCUUGCCCUGGAGGCCAUCAGUAAUUCGUAGAGUUGUAGGAGCGGGUGCUGACACUGGUCCUGAUGCAAUCAAACUUUGGCAAUGGGCCUUCUUGUGGCUUCUAUGAUUGCAAUGAAAGCAAAUCACAUCAAAUACUAGGGUGGUGUUGGUAGUAGCAAUCAAAUCUCUACUGAUAUGACCCGUCCAGCCACACUUGAACCAUCCAUAAUCACCCAUCCUACAUGCCCCGUCGUGUAUCCUGCCGCACUUGCCACAACGGCCCUGGCCCUGUUGGCCCUUCGAUCUAGUAUCAACAACCUUGGGCCUCUUCACCGAAUCCUCUGCAAUCUAGACAUAAUCUACAUCCUCUUCUUCUCCAUCUCCAUAUCAAUCUCUUUCUCCCUAGCUCUCACUAUCAUAUCCUCCACCAUCCUGCAACUGGAUUAGUUUACAAACUGCCAAAUAUCACUCCUCAGCAUCCCAUGGUACCUCGUCUUCUUCAUCUCCUCAUCCACAACAUACUGUAGAACCAACAGUUCCCUCUCAUGAAACAUCGUAGUGAUCUUAGCCACCGUCUCAGUAGUCUGGCGGAGAUCCUGAAACUCUCGCGCCAACUGUUGCACCUUGAUCACUGGUGCUAACUAAGCUCUACAUCUAGUCGUAAAAUCAUCCCAUGUCAUCGAAUCAACAACAUCAUUACAAACUACACGUCCAAACUCCUCCCGACAGUCUCGAUCUAUGUCUUUCAUAAGACAGGAAACAAGUCUGACCUUUCCCCCUCAGGACAACUACAGGUGCGGAAGGCGUUAGCAACAUCCGCUAACCACCUCCUGCUCGCUAUCGGGUCGUUCGCCCUAUGGUAACCUGGAGCUCCACAUGCCUGGAACUCCCUGAAGCUCAAUGAAUGAUUCCCAAUCAAGGCAACCAUCUUAGAAUGGAAGGAGCCCAAACGCUCCUCCAAAACCUCCACGAUACCCUCCUGGAUUAUAGCAAAGAUCACAAGAGUCUGCUCAAGAAUGUUGCGAGUAAUCUCAAAAGAAAUGACCUCCCGCAUCUGAUUGUCCAACUGCCAAACUCCAUAACCUGAUCCUGAGCCCUCACCAACACCAAAACUACCAUUCGGUCUGCCUCAAAGAGUCACCAUACUGAAAAUAGACCAUAUAAACCAUCAGAAUGCACAUCAAAAUAUAUCAAGGAAUUACAAACUCUACAAGCUUCCUGGUUUCAUUGCAGCUCUCCUUGCCUCGAGUGUGGAUCCUCUGCUUCUAGUAGUGUGGGCCCACACUACCUUCCACACCUAUCCGUACCUCCCUCAAUGAUUGCCUUGAAUCAUCCAAGUCACUCCUUAUUCAUACUAUCAAUCCUCAUUAAUAUAAGGCUCCCAGCACUAAAUCUCUUCCCAGGUUUUCCUAGGGAAAUCACCACGCCACUCUCCGCCAUCAGCUGCAGAAGGAAAUCCCACUAACUCCCCAUAACUAUCUCACGAAUACUAUUGUAUAUCAUCAAAACCAGCUAGUUCUUCGAAUGAGAGGUAUCACACUACAACGAUUAGACUCAGACAAGAGUUGCGCAAUAUAGUUAAACCUAACUCUCUAAAAUUAUUUAGUCUCAAUAAUAUGCAACUUAACAUAUUCGUUUACUAGUUAGAUGAAGUUAUUGAGAACUCCUAAAAAUCUCAAAGAAAGCAGCAUUCGAGCAUUGAGUAAUUAGAAUAAAGCACAACUCUAAACGGCCAUCCUAUCACUAACUGAUCAAUACUAGCAUGCAAGGCUACAAGCUUAAACAAUAGGCACACAAAGGCUCUCCUAGAAUUCUAUCAUGCAAAUACUGAGCAAAUACUUAGUCCUAGCUAGCAUGCGAUUCAUAGAUUCACAAAUCAAAUCAUAUCAAAUAACAUGCAUGGAUAUUUUGGGAAACUUACUUUAGCUCGUUUGAUUGCAUGCACCACACACUUUCUUGUAUUAGAACACCCUUUUCUUUCUAAAAACAAAACAUUUCCUUUUUGAAAAUCUCUACCAAAUCCUCAGUAUGAGUUCAGACACACCCGAGUUUAUGUCCGGAUUCCACAAAAAAAGGCUCAGAUAACAACUUGUAACGUCCCAAAAAUAAGACCCACAAAUUUCAUUUUUAAAUAAAUUAAAACAGUAUCCUACAACAUCAUCAUAAAUACCAAGUGGAACAGCUAUAUCAAUAUAUCAUAAAAUAUCAAACUUAUCAUGAAAAUGCAGAACAAUAUUGUGUGUGCACUACAAUCACCCCGAGCUCCUCCCCUUUGCACCAGAAGUACCUAAAACAUAAACAAAAAACCGCAAUCACGGAGCUUAGUGAGUUUCCCUCAAAACCACAUACCACACAUAUCAAACAUAUAACAGGCCCCGCCUGAUGAGGGUAAUGGGCCCUGCCCUAACUCACAUAACGUGCCCCACUCACUAAGUAUAACGGGGCUCGCCCUAACUCAUAUAACGGGCCCUGCGCACUAAGUAUAACAGGUCUCACCCUAACUAUCACAUCGGGCCCUGUCCAACGUAUAAUCAUACAAAUAUAACAAGUAAUAGCAUACAUAAUACCCCUUGUCCCCCCCCCCCAUAAGCAUAAAAAAAAAUACACAUGCGAGUGUCACGUAAACCUCUAGCACCCUAACAUAAUAAACCAUGGGUCAGCUUUGGUGCCUUCAACCCGCUAAACAUGAUGAAGAAGACUCACCUUAAGCUGCUGAAUCACUAGAAUAAAUCUCUGGUUGUAGGUCCGGUAAAUCCACGAGCUAUAAAUAUAAAUAAUACCUAGUUUAUUAACUGGAUAUCAACCCAUAAUAAUAGGUGUAAUCUCUUGGCCAAGACCAAGCUCCAAUCCAUUUACUAAGAAAGUCCAAAAUCUAAUUGACAAUCCAAGGCUAAAUUAUGGCCUAAUCUUCCAAAUUGUUCCCAAGAACCCCCAUGGGCCUAAAAUCCAGUGAAUCCCAACAACAAAGUCUAAAUCCAACACAAAAGUAUGGUGGCCCAAAAAGGCCGAAGCAAUAGAAGACCAAAAUGGCCCAAAUACCAAGAAUGUCGAAUGCAAGCCCAUCUGCUAAGUACAUAGGGUGUACUCGGCUCGCACGCUAAGCGUACUUCUCCUGGGGCUAGUACAUGUAGUGUACCAACUGGGUACAUCCAGCGUACUCCAUAGUGUGCCACCCUCACUCCAUUAAUCACUUAAGCGGUCUAUUCCCUACCCCAUACUAUCAGACUUUGUCUCUACAGAUGACUAUCACGUAAAGUUGGCAACUUUAUGUACAUGCAUGGCUAAAUGGGGCUAUAGAGCUCAAAGAGCUUAAAAAAGGGUCUCAACACAUGCAUGAUUCUAUAUACACCAUAAAGUUUGCAUUUUUAUGUAUAAGGGACCCUUAAAAUGUCAAGAUCUAAAGGAUUAAACUUAUGAAAUGACCUUAUCUCACAAGGGCAAACCAAAAGGGACCAAAAUAACCAUAAACUAACCCAAGAGGUGAUCUAUACAAAGAGUUGACAAGUUAUGCACUUUAUACCUCAAAAGUCAUGAAAUAAAGAAGCAAUAUCUAGAUCUCUAUGCUGUUCUCCAAGGAAUGAGUCUUCAAUCUUCUUCUACCACUUCAAAGUACACAAAACACACCAAAAUGCUUCACAAGAGCUCAAACUCACAAAAACAAAGGGUAAGGGCGAGGUUAGGGCUUUCAAGAUAUGGAGGCUGGUCUAAAAUGCUCAAGAGGUGAGUUUAAGAUGGUUAAAUAGGGCACAAAUCCUAAAUAUUAAGGUUUAGCCCAAGCGAUCAUACGCCCAGCAUAACCCCACGUACGUCCAGCGUAGGUGGGCGAUGCUAGCGAUCAUGGUCUAGCUAAUAUGCUAAGCGUACUCAUUGAGUACACCCCACAUACUAGCCAAAGGACCAAUAAUGAAAAUAUUUGUUUAUCGUGGGUUAAAAGAAAACUUACAAGGUCUAAAUAUUACGCCUUUAGAUAUAAAUUCAUUGCAAGAGUGUCUUGAGAUGGCGAGGCAACAUCAUCCACAAGAGAAUCAACAAAAGCAAUUUAAGUAGGUGGUAGAUUAUUGUUAUCCUUUGGUUGGCUGUUAAUCAUUAAAUGGUGGUGGUGGAGGUGGUGGUAGAUUACUUGAUGAUAGUAUGGUGGAGGUAGAUAGAAAAAUAUCUUCUUUAAUGGAACCUAUAUCAUGUUGAUAGCAACAACAUCUACUUCUAAUCUAUUUUAACGAGCAGCAAACACAUCAGCUUGACCAAAAAAAGUAUUAAGAAAUGAAAGGAUAUGUGAUUGAAUAUCAUGUUGAACAGCAUGUUCAUGCUGAUGCUCCCCCUCAGCUUGAUGUGCAAAAUCAAGAUAAUUGUGCUUCACCAUUGGAUAUAUAAUCCACAUCUUAGAUAAGUUCAAAUGGUCAAGACUUCCAGUUCUAUUCCCUAGAAACUUUCCAAUAACUCCAGUCAAGUACAUCUAACUAUUGGAUAAGGUGUCUAAGUCCAUAACUUAUUUGGUAUAUACUUGACCCGACCGGCAUGGUCCAUUUGGGUUGCAUCUCAUCCAAACUAUUAUGGAUAAUUUUAUGAGAGUUAUACACAUAUGUUUAUUAAUAUAUUAUGAGUUAUAAUAUAUUAAUAUGAAGUUACGUUAUUUAAUUAGUUUUAGUCUUAAAUUAAUUAUGGAUUAAUUUAGAGAUUAAAAGGAAUACUAAUUAAAUUAUGGGCUAUUUGUUUUAUAUAGUGUGGGCUAAUACUCAUUUGUUAAUGGGCUAGGCUUAUGUGGAAGUCCAUGGAUGAUCCAUGAAGCUUUUAACCCAUGGAUCCUUGGAAUAGGAAAAGACAUGGGUUAUUAGGGUUUCACCCUAACCAUGCAUACUAUAUAAGCAUGCUUAUGGAGCAUGAAAGAGAGCCUAAGAUAGCCUAAGAGAAAGCUAGUGUUCUAGUGUGUGUGUGCAUGUGUGUGGCCGAAAAUACAAGAGUGUGUAUACUCUCUCAAAGUUUUCCAAGAGUUUGUGGUGUUUGUGAUUCCAUUUGAGGCAUUCACACUAUUGGUGCUUGGCCCUCAAACUCCUAAGAACCCAACACAACAAAAGGUAUGUAAUCUCUUCUAACUCUUUUAUGUUGAAAUGUUCCCCAUGCCAUGUUAGAUAGGUUAUAAACCUUGGAAAAUUAUUAUUUUGCAUGUAUUUAGACAAACAUAGAUCCAAGGUUUAUUAGGGUUGCAUGCACACUUAGGAAGUGUUAGAUUGCUCAAAACCCAACAGUGGUAUCAGAGCCUAGGCUUGCUUGUUUGAUACUUGAUGCAAAAUAGUGAAAAAAGUCGAAAUCGUUGCUGUCUGCAUGCUAGACUCGCCGAGUCCAUUGGGGGGACUCGCCGAGUCCAAGGCAAACUUCAACCUACUCGACGAGUCCGUUCGUGCACUCGGCGAGUAGGAUCGAAAGAAUGCAGAAUCUCGACUUUUGCUGCUGGAAAUGGACUGGAAACAUUACCCUAAAUUGUUUUGGUGUUGUAAAACUUAUUUUAGUUGGUGUAAUGGUUGUUCUAAUCCAUUUACAAUAGCAUAUAUCAAAAAUCCAUGAUUUUAUGUGUUCAUAUAAUUCUUGAAUUUUUGAUGAUCAUGUUCAUGUUCUUAUGAAUUUAGAAAAUGAUAGGAAUUAUUUGCUGAAUUGUUUAGAAUUAAUUCUUAAUCAUUUAUGUGUUUUAAUGGAGUCCAUAAUUUGUCCUCAAGUUAUGGAUUACCAAAGGUCACUUUCAUUUAACACACACUUAAAACACAUAAGUUACAUGAAAAUGAAGAGUCUUCAUUUUUAUGAACCUUUAAUUCAUAAGUUAUGAAAUGAAGAGUUUUGCAAAGUUACAAAACUUGUCCUCAAGUUUUGGAAUUUGUAAAGUUUCACACACUUUAAUAAACUUUAAUUCCAAACCUUAGAGUUUUAAUAGUUAAAAUUCAACCCUUAUACUAUUUAUAACAUUAAUGGUUAAUUAUUAUAUAUAUGUAUAAGAAUAAGUCGUUUUACCGUUAGUAGGCCUCAUUCACGAAGCCGGUCUAUAAGGUGGGUAUAAGGUUGUUGCCUAUAAAAUGGCGACUUAAUGGGUGUAUACUCUCACCCACCGCUUGCUUGAUCGGUGGAGGGUCGUUAGCCGAACGGGUAGAACAACGACUUUAAAUCCUCAUUAAAAGUAUAAUGAAUAUUAUAAAAUAACUAAACUCUUUUAAUUCCCAAUCUUAGUUAUUUUAGGAAAAUGUGAACAUGGUGCUAAUCCAUGGAAUUCACACUUUGUACCUUACCAAGUCGUUAGUGGAGCGUGUGUGGUUAACCGGCACACUAAUUAGACUAGUAAGGAUCACGAAGGGUAACUUAAUGUUGUCAUAGAUCAAUGGAGCGUGUGUGGUUAACCGGCACAUUGAUUAGGUGAUAAUAUUAGGAGUACCAAGUGAGUUAGCAUGGUUAUUCACACCUUGUUUUGUGAUCCUCGGCAUCCCAGUCACAAAACUUGAAGGGCACAAUCGAGAUUGAAACAUGCCAUUGAAAAGUUCAAUGAAUCUCAAAAGAAUCUAGGAAUUUCAAAUCCAAUUAAACCUAAUUAAUCAUUUCGUUUUCAUGGUGGAAAUUGGUGAAUCGUCAUUCGCCUACCUUUCAAAUAUAUUAUUACUUAGAUUACGGCAUCCCUCUUCUAAGUGUAAUAUAUUGUGAUUGGAUCCUAGCCUUAAUAUUACAUUUGGGUGUCUUAUUAAGGAUCCUAAAUAUCUAAUCUAAACUUACUUUCUUCUUUCAGAUGUCUUCCAACACUAAUGCUUCAGGCUCUAACCCAACUGGUUCUUUCUCUCUCAUGAAUCUUUGUGGGAGGGUCAUCUUUGAUGGUUCCAACUUCAUGGAUUGGAUUAGGAACAUCAGGAUGGUUACUCGUUACGAGGACAAGGAAUAUGUCCUCGAUAAGGAGUUAAAAGAACUUGAUGAGUCUACUGCUACUCCUGAGGAGAUCGCUGAAUUCAGGACUCAUGAGAGAGAUGCUACUAAGGUGGCAUGUAUCAUGAUGGCCACGAUGACAGCCGAGCUCCAAAAGUCAUAUGAAGAUUUCUACCCUUUUGAGAUGCACCAAGACUUGAUGGAAAGGUACCAUCAGAGUGCUCGUCAGGAGCGGUAUGAAAUAAUCUCCUCCAUAAUAACUACCCGCAUGAAGGACGGUGAAUCCGUCACGGGCCACAUGCAAAAGAUGCAAAGGUAUGUGGACCGUUUGCUGAAGCUGAAUGUUAACAUCCCCGAGGAGUUAGCAAUUGACAUCAUUUUGCACUCCUUGCCUUCUUGUUAUGAUCAUUUUCGAAUGACAUAUCAUAUGAACAAGGAGGAAGUUACCCUCAGCAAGCUUCAAGGACUCUUGAAGACCGCUGAAACCGGUCUUAAGGGUAAAGCGGUUGUUACCUCUACUACUCCUACUCCAACUUCUACCCCUGUUUUAGCUAUUGGGCAAGGCAAAGGGAAAAAGAGGAAGCACCCUUCGAAGGGUACCAAGGGAAAGUCUCUUGAAGGCUCCUCAUCCAAGACUAAGAACGGUUCUGUCACUCCUUCUGCCAUUCCAAAGGAUGCUGAAUGCUUUUAUUGCCAUGAAAAGGCACACUGGAAGCGAAACUGCCCUAAGUACUUGCAGGAUCUAAAGGAUGGGAAAGUGAAACCCACCUAUGCAGGUAUUUACACUAUAUUGUCUAAUUACUCAACAUAUUCUAACUCUUGGGUGCUUGAUACAGGAUGUGGUAUUCACAUAUGUUCUGAUUUGCAGGGCCUAAGAAGAAGUGAGGAUGUGGAGCACGGGAAGAUAAACUUAAUCAUGGGGAAUAGGAAGGCUUCACCUGUUUCCAAGAUUGGAGUUUAUACUUUGUUGCUUAAUAAUGGGUUAAAAUUAGAUUUGAAUAAAUGUGUAUACUCGUCUGAAAUGGCGAGGAAUAUUAUUUCUUUUCAUGCUUUGUACAAACAAGGUUUUACCUUUUCGUUUGAUAAUGAAUGUGGUGGUAUUAAUGCUUUCUUUAAUAAUGUGUUUUAUUUUAAAGCAUUACCUUGUGAUGGCGUGUAUGAAACUGUGUCGAUUGUAGACAACUUAGGAAAUAAUGUGUUGUAUAUUGAUUCUUCUACUAGCCUAGAUAAAGCAUCAUUGUGGCAUUGUCGUCUUGGACAUGUAAACAAGAAACGCAUAGACCAACUCCAAAAGAGUGGAGUCUUGGAAUCAUUUGACCUCAAAUCAGAUGAUAGUUGUGAAUCUUGUCUACUUGGAAAAAUGACAAAAUCACCCUUCACUGGAACUUGUGAGAGGGGUGAAGGUUUGUUGGACCUAAUACAUACUGAUGUAUGUGGGCCAUUCAAAACCGCCACAAGGGACGCUAAUCGGUAUUAUGUGACUUUUAUUGAUGAUUAUAGUAGAUAUGGGUAUGUCUACUUGAUCAAACACAAGUCCGAAACCUUUGAAAGGUUUAAGGAAUUCAAACAGGAAGUAGAAAAUCAAUUGGGCAGGAACAUUAAGAUGCUUCGAUCCGAUCGAGGUGGUGAGUAUCUUAGUACCGAGUUCCUUGACUAUCUUAAGGAGUGUGGGAUUGUCUCACAAUUGACUCCUCCCAGGACACCACAGCUGAAUGGUGUAGCUGAGAGGCGUAAUCGUACCUUGUUGGACAUGGUUCGCUCUAUGAUGAGUCGAGUUUCGUUACCAAUCUCUUUUUGGGGGUAUGCCUUAGAGACUGCCGCCCAUAUCCUUAAUCUAGUCCCUACAAAGAAGGUUACCAAAACACCUCAUGAGAUGUGGACUGGGAAGGUUCCCAAUUUGGACCACAUCAAAAUUUGGGGUUGCGAAGCCUUCGUGAGGCGUGAAACUCAUGAUAAGCUUGAACCCCGAAGUGAAAGGUGUAUUUUCAUCGGCUACCCACAGAAAUCCUUCGGUUACCUUUUCUACAGACCCAGUGAGAAUGUGGUCUUUGUAGCACGAAGAGGGAUCUUUCGCGAGAAAGAAUUUAUAAGCCAAGGAGACAGUGGGAGGCAGAUUGAUCUUGAAGAAAUUCAAGAAUCAAUUGGUGAAGGAACCUCAGACACUAGCAAUCAACCUGAGGAAGAAACUCCUGUUGAUCCAGCUGACGAGUCUGUACCUCCGAGACGUUCCACACGGGUUAGGAACACACCUUCGUUUUAUUAUGGUUUUCAUAUUACUACGGAAGGUGAUACGUUUAUUAGUGAUAGUACACUAGUAAAUUUGGAUGAACCUAGCAGUGUUAAGGAAGCCAUGGCAGGCCCGGAGUCUGCUAAAUGGAAGGAGGCUAUGGACAGCGAGAUACAGUCCAUGUAUGACAAUCAAGUUUGGAACUUGGUUGACAAUGUACCAGGCCGUAAAACAGUCGGGUGCAAAUGGAUCUUCAAAAAGAAGACCGACAUGGAAGGAAAAGUGCAUACUUAUAAGGCUCGACUGGUUGCGAAGGGUUUUACUCAAACUCAAGGUAUUGAUUAUGAUGAAACCUUCUCGCCGGUGGCCAAGAUUAAGUCUAUUAGGGUUAUGUUAGCCAUUGCAGCAUUUCAUGAUUAUGAAAUAUGGCAAAUGGAUGUCAAAACCGCUUUCCUUAAUGGAAAGUUGGCUGAGGAUGUGUACAUGAAUCAGCCAGAGGGUUUUGUCAAUGCAGAGUACCCUAAUAGAGUAUGCAAGCUUAAGAAAUCCAUUUAUGGAUUAAAACAAGCAUCUCGUAGCUGGAAUCUUUGUUUUGAUGAGAAGGUAAAAGAGUUUGGCUUCUUGAGAAGCGAAGAUGAGUCUUGCGUGUAUGUCAGAGCUAGUGGGAGUAUAGUUAGCUUCUUGGUACUGUAUGUGGAUGACAUACUACUCAUAGGAAAUGACAUCCCAACCUUGCAGGAGGUUAAGUCCUGGCUUGGGAAGUGCUUUGCUAUGAAGGACCUAGGGGAGGCUACCUAUAUCCUAGGGAUAAGGAUAUUAAGAGAAAGGAGUAGAAGACUAAUUGGACUUAGUCAGAGUAUCUACUUGGAUAAGGUGUUGAAAAGGUUCAACAUGGAGAAUUCCAAGAAAGGAGAUUUACCGAUCCAAAGCAAUACCAAACUGAGUAAGACUCAGAGUCCGAGUACAGAGGCUGAGAUAGCUGAGAUGAGCCAAUUACCAUAUGCUUCCGCAGUUGGCUCGAUCAUGUAUGCUAUGACUUGUACCCGUCCUGAUGUGGCAUUUGCUUUGAGCAUGGUCAGCAGGUAUCAGGGGAACCCUGGCAAGGCUCAUUGGACCGCGGUAAAGAACAUUCUCAAGUACCUGCGGAGGACUAAGGAUUGGGUCCUUACCCUUGGUGGCAGUGAUGACUUGAGAAUAUUAGGGUAUAGUGAUGCUGGUUUUCAGACUGAUAGGGAUAAUUUCCGCUCUCAGUCGGGCUGGAUCUUUACCUUAAAUGGAGGGGCAAUUUCUUGGAAGAGUUCCAAGCAGGAGACGGUGGCUGAUUCGACUUGUGAAUCAGAGUAUAUAGCAGCGAGUGAAGCAGCGAAGGAGGCGAUAUGGCUAAAGAACUUCAUCGGAGACCUUGGAGUUGUACCAGCUAUUAAGGAACCUAUAGAGAUUUUCUGUGACAACAAUGCUGCGGUUAUCUUAGCCAAGGAACCAAGAGAUCAUGGCAGAUCCCGACACAUUGACAGAAAAUAUCACUUCAUAAGGCACAAGAUUGAAGAAGGACUCCUUGUGACAAGGAGGAUAUCGUCAGAUGAGAAUCCUGCAGAUCCCCUUACGAAGGGACUGACGAGGGUUAAGCAUUUUCAGCAUGCGAGACGCAUCGGGCUGAGGGACGAUAUUAGUUUUACAGAUUAGAUAGUUUUCCUGAAACUUGUAAAAUGUAAUCGACGUUUGAUGAUGAAUAAAAUUUGUGAUUUAUUUAUGAGUAAAGUGUUACUAUCAUUGUCAAUUAUUUACUAUUGUUUCAGUUUUGCAUGUUUUGACUUCCAGAAUAAUUAAUUUGUUCAAACCUCCACAAUCGAUCAUACGUCGGAAGUAGGUAUGAAUCAAGAUUGUCAUGAAUUGGGUUUGUAGAUGCCUUAAAGGUGUUUAGGCAUGGCAAUGGUUGCUGCAACAUUCAUGAGUACUCAUAAGUUAUGAGUAUUGGUAUAAACCCACGCUCACUUGUAUCACUUCAUGGAAUUUAUCUCGAGUGAUCGUGAGACGAUAACAUCAUAUAAAUCUUUAAACCUAGAGAUAUGAGUUGUUACCUAUGAGUUGGUUGUGCAUUGAUUGCACGUAAACGCAUCAGUAACUUGAUGUUAUAAAACGUGCCUUUGUGUACAAUUCAAUAAGUAGUAGAACAAGCAUAUCAGUCGAAGUUUAUCUGUUCCUUCUAGAAAUAGAAGCGAUAUCCGGGCCCCUCGAUGAUUUUGUGUUGACCCAUAUACCAGGCCUGGUCAGAACUAAACCGAUGUGUUCAGUGAAGUUCUUCGUCAAACAAAUCGGAUAAUCGAGAAACAACUGCUAGACAAUAAGCAAGACAUAGUUCCAUGUGUUUGUCCGGCUGAUAUCAUGAGAACAGAGGAUUAUGUGAUCACUUAUCUAAAAUGGCGCUUCAUAGUUCGACAGAGUCUUCAUUGUUCGAGGGAGUUUUCGAGAGCUACGAUUGUUGGUUGGUUCCUGAAGUUAUAGGCAAAUAUAGUUAUUAGACUUAUCCAAGUGGGAGUCUGUUGGAUAAGGUGUCUAAGUCCAUAACUUAUUUGGUAUAUACUUGACCCGACCGGCAUGGUCCAUUUGGGUUGCAUCUCAUCCAAACUAUUAUGGAUAAUUUUAUGAGAGUUAUACACAUAUGUUUAUUAAUAUAUUAUGAGUUAUAAUAUAUUAAUAUGAAGUUACGUUAUUUAAUUAGUUUUAGUCUUAAAUUAAUUAUGGAUUAAUUUAGAGAUUAAAAGGAAUACUAAUUAAAUUAUGGGCUAUUUGUUUUAUAUAGUGUGGGCUAAUACUCAUUUGUUAAUGGGCUAGGCUUAUGUGGAAGUCCAUGGAUGAUCCAUGGAGCUUUUAACCCAUGGAUCCUUGGAAUAGGAAAAGACAUGGGUUAUUAGGGUUUCACCCUAACCAUGCAUACUAUAUAAGCAUGCUUAUGGAGCAUGAAAGAGAGCCUAAGAUAGCCUAAGAGAAAGCUAGUGUUCUAGUGUGUGUGUGCAUGUGUGUGGCCGAAAAUACAAGAGUGUGUAUACUCUCUCAAAGUUUUCCAAGAGUUUGUGGUGUUUGUGAUUCCAUUUGAGGCAUUCACACUAUUGGUGCUUGGCCCUCAAACUCCUAAGAACCCAACACAACAAAAGGUAUGUAAUCUCUUCUAACUCUUUUAUGUUGAAAUGUUCCCCAUGCCAUGUUAGAUAGGUUAUAAACCUUGGAAAAUUAUUAUUUUGCAUGUAUUUAGACAAACAUAGAUCCAAGGUUUAUUAGGGUUGCAUGCACACUUAGGAAGUGUUAGAUUGCUCAAAACCCAACACUAACAAGCAGGAAGACAGUGACACAAGAUUAAACUAGAGCGUUUUCCUUUCUUAGAAGGAUCAUAACCUAACUUCAUAAUGGCCUUUUCUCAAUGCUUCUUAGAGAGAGAGUAUGAUAAAUUAUCAGUUUGGGAGACGAAGAACAUAUAUGAAGAGGUGACUGACAUAAUGACCAUUACUAAUGGUUCCUUGGAUGAUGUAAAUUUGAUCAUCAUAGGUGUAGGUAUAAUGUAAUUCAUAAACAUGCUGUUGUAGGAACAAUUUGGCAGAGUCAUCAAUUACAUAUCUAAGUGGAUCGCUUUCCCAGAAUUGAAAAAAUCUUCCAAUCCCCUGUUCCGAUGAUUAACAAGAAUAGAAUCUGAGAAUGAAACGUUCAUAACAUAGAUCAAAAUUGAAGUAGUAGGAGUGUUAUCAUCCUUAAUAACACUAUUAGUGGGAACAUAGACGUAAAGUGAUAAAGUCAUGAUUGUAGGUUUGGGUUCUUCAAUGGUUUUUGUUGAAUAUAAUUUUUGAGAGAUGAUGAAUGAAAACCCUGAAAUACGUAAACUGACUUCCUUUUAUAGUUAUGGAAAGAUUAUGAUGAUCUUGUGACAUGAUCAAUAAUCAUGAAUGAUAAAAGUUUACCUUAAAUCAUGAAUCCCAUAACCGACUCUUUUAUGUCAACCCAAAAGUUAUCGAUGCCCAACGUUUAUGAAGACGCACUACAACGAAAUAGUCCGUGAGAGCUCAUUUGCACAACAGAAUUAUGUGGGAUAGAUUAACCCUUGUUUACUGUAUGGUGUAAUAUAGGAGUACUUUGACAUGUGAAAGUUUGAUGCUCACUACUGUAUGCUUUAUUACAACGGUUCUUAGACAGUAGUUUGUUUGUCAUGUCUCCGACUAUAUUGGUGGUACAUUAUAUUCCUAAACACUAGGUUACGAAAAAUCCCUUACCAUAUGGUUUAAUAUGGACAUUCCUUUACAUCAAUGAAAAGAAUGUCUCACUUACUAUCAGUGUCAUAAAAAGAUCAUUAACAUGGGGGAAGGGGGGGGAGAGUCNNNNNNNNNNNNNNNNNNNNNNNNNNAGAUGUCCCACUAGUUGUUGGUUAUAUAGCCAAUCAUAAAUAUCAAAGAACUGGAUAGCAAAAGUCUUGGAAUCAAUCCAUCGUCACUUCAUAAUGGUACCAUGUAAUAUCUUAGUCUAGGAGGUCAAGGACAUGAAUAACCCUUUUUCAUAUUACGACCUGGCAUGUAACUGUUACACCGAUGACUAUGCAAUCAAGGUAAGCCAUUGGGUAAUACAUAGUCAGUCACUAGAACACUUGACUUUGUACGUGCGACAACAUGUUCCCAAGGACAUGGUUUAGAUAAAAAGACAAUAAUUAAAGUAAAAGUAACACCCAAGCCUUAUAACAAUAUUUUUUUGAAAAGGACCACACAAUCUUACCAUGAAGAUAUGGACAAUGCCAAAUCAUCGACAUGAGUGAGUGACUCAAUACAAUUUCAGUAGAUGGUCUCGCUGAUGAGAUACUUAGAAAGAUUUUGACACAUUCAAUAGAAUGCUUCUAGGGACAUUUUAGCCUCAAAGUGUCAUACUAGAAUUAAGGAUUCUCCAUCAAUUCCUUUGAGACGGUACAAAACAAACAAAUAAAUAAAUAAAUAAAAUACAAUAAAAUAAGAUAUAAGGAAAUAGUCAACAAGGAUAUGGUAAAAAAGAAACAUGCAAAAUUUUUCAGUAAGAUCAUAAAACUCUAAUUUGGCGUAUCUUCUAAAUUAAAUACUCAUAAAGUACUUCCCCUUUUCUAGAUUUCUACCACAAAAUUAUUGUCUAUAAAAGAGAGAAAUGUUAGCGAUCAUUUCACACAUUUAAAGCCAUCAAAAUAUAGAAUUAAAUGUAAAAAAUGAAGACAUAAAUGUUCUUAAUCUUUGAAGAAUCCAUAAAUCUGAUGGAUAUUAAGCUUCAUAUCUUCAAUAGGAAGAUAGAUCUGGUGGAACACAAUCUUUAUAACCAACAACUUAAAAUUUUGUAAUCUUUCUACCUUCGAUUUAUGAAAAUCAACGAGUGAAUAAUCACGGAAACAAAAGAUUAUGAACCUCGAAAAGAGAGACAAUAAUCAAUUUUAUGAAAUUGAGAUCUUUGGAUCUCAGAUGGAGCUCAGUGUAGCAGUGAGAGUGUCUAUGGGAAUUAGUUAUGCCAUUCUCAUUAUUUUCAUCUAGCUUCAUGGUAACAAUUGUUGGGAACUAAUGAUGCAAGAAGAGAACUCAUAAGAUAUGUCUAGAUGGUAGCUCUUUCUUUUUAUGUGUCAACAGUAAGAUGCUCAAUGCCAAAGUCGCCAAACAUCACAUGCGAACUGAAGGUUGCACCUGCUGAUGAUGUGCAGGUGUCGAAUAUAUGGAUGAUGGUCAUACAACCAAGUUCAAUGAUAGGAUCUUGCAAUAAGAGGUUAGAAAGAUUAGGCAAGUUGGUCAUUUCUUUAGAUGAGAAAGUUGUAGAGCGACUUUGAAUGUAAAAGAUGAUUCAUCCUGAGGCUUGUGCUUGAGAUUUGAAAGACACAAGGGAUUAAUAUAUAUANUAUAUAUAUAUAUGAAAUUUAUACUCCUUUGGUAAAAGAAAAUAAACAAUUGUAUUUUUGUGUUUUUCAUAUAUAAUGAAAGUAAAUGACUUGUUUUUUGUAGUUUUUGUAAUUUUUGAAACCUAGGCGAUAAAGGACUAAAAUUACAAUAAAGCAAAUAAGUAUUUAAGAAAAUGUACAUAAAAUUAUUUAAAAUAACCAAAAACCCAAAUACAUAGAGAGCAUGGCUAGUUCAUUAGUCAGAAAGAUUAUCAUUAGUUCAUCCAGCGACUAACUGAAUAUAUCAGCGAGUUAAUUAUUAGUGAGAAUAUAUAUCAACUUAAUCUUCACUUUUUAAAUAUUGUCCCUGAUAACAUGAUGCUUGAUCUCUAUAUUCUUGUUCUUGUAGUGUUGGACAAGGUUUUAUCUAAUGAGAAUGAUGCUUGUAUUAUCACAACAAAUGGGAGUCAAGGAAAUCUUGAUUGCAUAAUCUUGAAGCUGAUUCUGAAUCCAUAGAUUUUAAGCACAACAUCUACCAAUGGCAACAUACUUAGCUUCAAUGGUUGAACAUGCUACAGAUAAAUGUGUCUUGCUGGACCAACUUAUAAAUCUAUCUCCCAAGAGCUAACAACCACAAGAUGUAGUUUUUGAUCUAGACAACAACCCACAUAAUCAAAAUCAGUGAAACCAAAUAAUUUGAAAUCGAAAUCGCGAGGGUACCAAAGACCAAGGUUUAGAGUGUGAGUGAGGUAUCGAAAGAAAUGAUUGGUGGAGAGAAGAUGUGACUCCUUUGGAUUAGCUUGAAAAGAAUCACACAUGACAGUAGCAAAGGUAAUAUUAGGGCGACUUGCAGUGAGAUAAAAAAAAAGAACCAAUCAUUCCUCCUUAUGAACUGGGAUUAACAUCAGGUCCACUCAAAUCAGUGGAAAUCUUCAUAGAAGUUAACAUUGGACUCUUUAAUGGCUUGAAGUUAGAGAAUGAAAACUUUUUUUGUUGGGUUUUGAGCAUUCUAACACUCCUAUGGUGUACAUUCAACCCUAUAAACCUUGGAUCUAUGUUUUCUCUAUUAUACAUGCAAAUAAGAACUUUCCAAGGCUUUAAUCCUAACUAGCAUACUAUGAGGAAACUAUACUACAAAGACUAGUUAGAUGACAUACCUUUUGGUGUUGCUUAAUGUCUUCAAGCUUUAAGAGCUUAGCCCCAAUAGUGUGUAAGCCUCAAGUGGAAUCACAAAUCACCAAAAACACCUUGGAAGACUUUGAUAAUAAGAAUAUUUUGGUUCUCUCUUGUGAAAUCGGCUAGCCCUUUUAGUGUACCCACACUAGUGCCAAUUUCACCAACCAAGGACAUCAUUAUAUAGUGUGGAGACUAGGGUUAAACCCAUGACCUUUCAUUUCAUUUGAUCCAUGGGUUAAACACACCAUGGACUAUCCAUGAAAGCUUAGCCCAACCCAAAUGAACUUGACCCAUUCCAUAUAUAUAAGAGUCCAAAUUUAAUUAGUUCAUUUUGAUCACUUAAUUAAUUCUAAAUUAAGUCUUGAUCAAUACUAAUUAAAUAAUAUGGUUCCAUAUUAAUAUAUUAGAACUUAUAAUAUAUUAAUAUAAAUCAUAAAUAUACUAUUCUCAAAAGACAUACCAAAUAUAGUUAUGGACUUAGACAUUAAUCUAAUAGUCUCCCACUUGGAUAAGUCUAAAACUAUUAUUGAGUAUGACUUCAAAACCUAACUGGAAAUCGUAGCUCUUAAAGCCGCUGUCGAACUCUGAUCUUGUAAAUGACUUGUCCAUUAGAUAAGGGAUCAUAUACUCCUCCAUUCUAGAUAUCAUAU
rnacentral:lncRNA from 1 species